GACGAACGCUGGGCGGCGUGCUUAACACAUGCAAGUCGAGCGGUAAGGCCCUUUCGGGGGUACACGAGCGGCGAACGGGUGAGUAACACGUGGGUGACCUGCCCUCAGCUCUGGGAUAAGCCUGGGAAACUGGGUCUAAUACUGGAUAUGACUCCACGGUGCAUGUCGUGGGGUGAAAGCCUUUGUGCGGCUGAGGAUGGGCCCGCGGCCUAUCAGCUUGUUGGUGGGGAUGGCCUACCAAGGCGACGACGGGUAGCCGGCCUGAGAGGGCGACCGGCCACACUGGGACUGAGACACGGCCCAGACUCCUACGGGAGGCAGCAGUGGGGAAUCUUGCGCAAUGGGCGAAAGCCUGACGCAGCGACGCCGCGUGAGGGAUGACGGCCU
rnacentral:rRNA from 1 species